rnacentral:rRNA from 1 species
GACGAACGCUGGCGGCGUGCCUAAUACAUGCAAGUAGAACGCUGAAGGAGGAGCUUGCUUCUCUGGAUGAGUUGCGAACGGGUGAGUAACGCGUAGGUAACCUGCCUUGUAGCGGGGGAUAACUAUUGGAAACGAUAGCUAAUACCGCAUAAGAGUAUAUGUUGCAUUACAUUUACUUAAUAGUUGCAAUUUCUUCACUACCAGAUGGUCCUGCGUUGUAUUAGCUAGUUGGUGAGGUAACGGCUCACCAAGGCAACGAUACAUAGCCGACCGGAGAGGGGGAUCGGCCAAACUGGGACUGAGACACGGCCCAGACGGCUACGGGAGGCAGCAGUAGGGAAACAUCGGAAAUGGACGGAAGUCUGAACGAGCAACGCCGCGUGAGUGAAGAAGGGUUUCGGAUCGUAAAGCUCUGUUGUAAGAGAAGAACGAGUGUGAGAGUGGAAAGUUCACACUGUGACGGUAUCUUACCAGAAAGGGACGGCUAACUACGUG